GGACCAAGGAGUCUAGCAUGUGCGCGAGUCAUUGGGACACGACUAAACCUAAAGGCGCAAUGAAAGUGAAAGUCCGCCUUGCGCGGACCUAGGGAGGAUGGGCGGUCGUUACGGCUACCGCCCCGCACUCCCGGGGCGUCUCGUUCUCAUUGCGAGAAGAGGCGCACCAAGAGCGUACACGCUGGGACCCGAAAGAUGGUGAACUAUGCCUGGUCAGGACGAAGUCAGGGGAAACCCUGAUGGAGGUCCGUAGCGAUUCUGACGUGCAAAUCGAUCGUCGGAACUGGGUAUAGGGGCGAAAGACUAAUCGAACCAUCUAGUAGCUGGUUCCCUCCGAAGUUUCCCUCAGGAUAGCUGGCGCUCGUUGCGUACGAGUUUCAUCCGGUAAAGCGAAUGAUUAGAGGCAUUGGGGUCGAAACGGCCUCAACCUAUUCUCAAACUUUAAAUGGGUGAGAUCUCCGGCUUGCUCGAACUCAUUUUUAAAAUGAAGCCGCGAGACUCGAAUCAGAGUGCCAAGUGGGCCAUUUUUGGUAAGCAGAACUGGCGCUGUGGGAUGAACCAAACGCCGAGUUAAAGCGCCUAAAUCGACGCUUAUGGGAUACCAUGAAAGGCGUUGGUAACUUAAGACAUCAGGACGGUGGCCAUGGAAGUCGGA
rnacentral:rRNA from 1 species